GAAUCCCUGCGGUGUGCGUGAUGUCUCUUUUGUACUGAGCCAACGCUUUGGUCCAGGGGGCCGUUCUCCAUGUGUGGUUCGGACUCGUCCAACCACCGGGUGGCUCCCACUUCAGGUCCAAGGUUCAUAGUACUUCUGAGGUACACGGCACUGCAGGGGUUCG
rnacentral:other from 1 species